CAUGAGGAUUCAAAACAGGUGGUAGCAGAAACUCAUGUUUAUUGAUCUAAACUCGUAGUCGAUGACAGCCAAAAAGAGUUGAAAGAAAAUUAGCCAAAAAUCAGCCUCCAACCUCUCCCUUCUCUCACUCUUCUUUAAAGAUUAAUAGCACCAAACCAAAAGCUAUUAAUAAUCAGAUAAAUGCUCUUGGACCAAAAAAAAAAGCAAAUUGCACCAUCUCUGACAUCACAAAUGGUCACUCGUCUAAGCACGUUUUUAGAAAACCUACUUGGAGGAACCAUUUGGCAAAUCGCCAGAUGGGUUCAACUCAUCCCAUGCUUCAAUCCAAGUGACCAUUGCAUCAGCCAGCUUCACAAAGUACUCGUCGACCUUGCCAAGCUUGGACCUUACUUGCUUUGACAGCUCAAUGUAGCACUUCUGCACGGUGUUGCAUUCCUUAGGCAGAGCUGCAGACUGGAAAAACGGGAUGAGCUCUUCUUGCCAGUAGAUUCCUUUGUAUUCCUUCUUCAGGUUCACAAAUGGGUUGCUUGCCUUGCUGUGGUAGAUAUAUGGCAAACCAGUCUUCACCCCCAAACCCAGAUGGUCACAGAUAACCUAAUACGUUAGAAAAUCAAAACUCAAGGGUUCAGUUCAGCUGCAUUACGUUUUCAUUCAUCAGAAAAUGGCAUGUAAUUAACUUGGUUAGCAAGCAAACCUUGGUACACCAUCCAGCCCACAUGUCGUCGUAGCGACCGAUUGGCUGGCCAUCACCCAUGAGGCCGAAGUACAUUGCAGGGCCGAUCAACUCACGGUUGAAUGCAAGGUUCAGUCACGGUUGAAUGCAAGGUUCAUCCCACACAUUGGGUAAAGGGUUCCCUUGGGAAUUGUCAUUACAGCAUCCACAUAUCUAGUGUUCCUCUCGAGUGGCUUGACUAGCUGGGUUGGAGCAUCGUAGUCAGGAAUGUUGAGCCAGAGGCCAUGAGACACUGCAGUGG
rnacentral:lncRNA from 1 species